rnacentral:rRNA from 1 species
UACGAAGGGGGCUAGCGUUGCUCGGAAUCACUGGGCGUAAAGGGCUCGUAGGUGGCCAACUAAGUCGGACGUGAAAUCCCUCGGCUUAACCGGGGAACUGCAUCCGAUACUGGAUGGCUUGAGUUCGGGAGAGGGAUGCGGAAUUCCAGGUGUAGCGGUGAAAUGCGUAGAUAUCUGGAGGAACACCGGUGGCGAAGGCGGCAUCCUGGACCGACACUGACGCUGAGGAGCGAAAAGCCAGGGGAGCAAACGGG